CCCACACUCAUGUAUGCCAGUAAACCUUCUGAAUGUCUUUCAGAGUGAGCACUGUAGAGAAGAAAAACAGGGCAUUGUGCUGUAUUUGUAGAGAGGGGCUGAGAAGCAUGAGUCCACUCCAUCUUUUUCCAGAACCGGCAGUAGACAUGGUAUUUGAGAAACCCUGCGAUACCAGAACAGAACUGAUUUUCCUGGAGAUGUUAUUUGAUGGGUAGUAGGAGCACGGUAAGCUUUAAAUUCUUAAUGAUCUUCCCUGGGGUUCUGGAUUCUUUUGCACUGGAGUGGCUCUUUAAGAUUACAAGCUUAAAACUGACUGUCUUUAAUGCCAGAGCUUGAAAAUAUCGUAACAAACCUGGAACGGAA
rnacentral:lncRNA from 1 species